rnacentral:lncRNA from 1 species
AGCAAUAUAUAUAUAUAUGAUAAUACUAUAUGAAAUAAUUAUUAAUUGAACUGCUAAUAUAAGAAUUUAGCAUAGUGCAUGUAUAGAGGAUAUAUGAUUUUACUCACAGUCUGCACCUACACCUCGGAUGAAGCUGGCUGGACGGACGAAUUAUCUAUCCACGAAAAUAACUCAAUUAAUAAGAUAUCUUUAAUUUUUCCUAGGCCUAGACUCCUAGAUUAGACUGCUUAAGCAAUUCAAAAAUUCUAUCGAAAAUUCGGCAGAACCUCCUAAAAUAUGGAUAUUUACCCUCGUAUAAUAGGUCCAGAACCUGCUAGAAAUAUUUUAAAUAUUCGGCAAUUAUUUAUCAGGAGUCGGGCCACCAAAACUGCAUUUUUGUUCCAACUCCGCAAUGAAGCUCAACCUACAAAAUUAUUUAUCUGUCCGACAUAAAUAUUUAAUUCUCAACCAACCCACAAACAAUUUCUUAGUAUUUAAACUAAUUAUACAGAACCACAUUGAUCACAAAUCAGAAAAAUAAUUAAUCAUACUAAUUAAUUUAUAAUAUUUAUAACUACGUUAUAAAUUAAUUAAAUCUAAUUAAGUUAAAUUAUUCAUAAUUGACAGAUUAAUAGUAAUAAUAUUUUCUAAAAUUUUAAAAUAAUUUUAAAGUCCAAAUAAAAUUAUAUUAAACCGAAAAUCUGAAAUUCUGUGUGUCUAGAAAACAGUAGAGUCCGAAAGUCAGUACCCUCAACGACAUCAGGAUUCAAAUCCGAAAGUAUCUAUUCAAAACUUGAGACGUGCUAAAACCAAAAACACCAUAUUUACAGUCUAGCUCUUGCCAGAAAAUGCCUGAUUGCGGAGGAAGGAUUUCUGCUUCGGCGAGAGAUACAGCGGGGGAGAGCUGUCCAGGGGGUUUUUGAUGGUGGAGAGUUAGAAUCUGGUGUCAGAUUGGCAAGGAAACAACGAUGUGGGGCUGAUUUGGUGGUGGCAGUGAGGAAGGAAGCUUCCUCCUCUCAAGCACCUCUCCUUCGUCGGCUCCAGGCGGUGAGGAUGGCGGAAACAGGCUAGCGACAUCGAGGAUGGUUCACGGUAGGCAAGGGACGGAAGGGCGGCGAGGUUAAUGACCAGAAACAGAGAGUGCGGGGGAAAGGAGGCGAUGGCGUCAGUGGUGAGAAGGAGAGGAUGGGACUUUUUUCUUUUUGGGUCUCUUGCUAGAGACUAAAAAUAAAUUUUGCAAUUUUUCAAAAAGUGCUUAUAAUAUUUUCUCUUCUUUCUUCCUCGUCUAUUCUUAUUAUAAAACAACCAUGCUACAAUACCCUUACAAC